GCGAGAUGCAGUCCGUCGCCCUCGACAACCAGCUGCCACAAGCCGGAGCAGAGGCCACGGAGAGCUCGGUAAUGGGGCGUUCAACAUCCAGGGAGCCAGGCCGGAGGAGACGCCACUGAGGGAGUGGUCUUCGACCUCCAGCAUCCAGGGAUCCUAGCCGGAGCCAAGGCCGUCGGCGGCUCAGUCGCCCUCCCGAAUCUAGGGAGUGGCCUAAUCCGUAGGCGCGUUCUGGAUGGACGCCCACCACUCCGUGCCUCCACUACAUCAUGCAUAGUUCUUGGUGCUACAGAUCUUGGGUCCCCUGCCAUCGGUGCUAUGAAGAAGACCAACAUCACAAUUUUUCUUGAGCAUUGGAACAAUCUGCAUCGUGAAAAGAUAAAAUCUUGGUGUCCUGCACAAGCAGUACGCGGCAGUUGUUAUGUAUAUAACAGAGGUAAAAUUUUGGAACACAUUCAUUUUACAUUGAUUUUAUCUUUGUAUGCUCUUACAUUUCAUCAUUUCCACAUUCAGACUAUGAUUGAAAAGUUUCUGUUCAAGUGAAGACGUGAAGUGACAAUGCACAUUUUUAUAUUGCCAUCGUUUUAAUUAUAUAAGUCUUAAUGUGUCUGUUUCUCUAGGGUGGCACAAACAGGACUCCCAAAUUAUAAAGAGUAAAAAUCUUGGCGAGACCGGAAGGUCAUAGCCUCUCAAGAUUAUUUAAUAAGACAAUUUUUGUUUUCUCUAUUUUUAGGGAGCUUCUCUUCUCAUUGUGACAUGAAGUGUAAAGAAUAAUAAUAAUUGCGAAAGUGUCUACUUCAAAUAAAUAUUCGCAACUGCUAUAUUGAUCAAUUAUGAAUUUUAUUAAAUUUAUGUACUAUCCAUAUUUUCUUAAAUAUUUUUGUAGUUUCCAAAAGAUGUCUGGGCACGGCGCCUUGUAUGAACUUCUAUUCAGAAUUUCUUUGAGAGGCUUCUUAACGAGUGGAUGAGCUGGAUGAUAUGGAGAAGCGGAAGGCAAACGAGGAGUCAAUGUUUGCGAUGCUCAAGUAGUGUCACGGUAUUCCCGUCCCAUGUUCGAGUUUUGCAGGAAAAAUGUGAGAAUCUUCCGGUUUUCUUUUUGUCAGUCUCUGUGUGAUACUAUUUUCAUAUAAUUUCAAAUUAAAGUACUUGUGCAAAAAUGGACAAAUAACAGAAAGAAUGGGGUAAAUUAGGAUUUGAAAUUAUUCUUGUGGUGUCAUGUUAACCGUUGGGAGCUGCAAGAAGACAUGGUGAUAUCCCUCUAAGUUGAAGUUGAAUGUUUCCUUCAGAACCAGUGAAAUCAAAAUUUAACUGCAAGGAAUUGAUGUAAUUGCGAUAACAAACUUAGAUGGUCAAUUGAGUGCCAAGUUUUAGAUAUGUGUGUGUGGAGUACUGCAGUUUAGCUUUGGGAAGUUAUUUGGGAGAGCAUGAUCAUGGACAGGGAUGUGUGGUUCCGUGGAGAAUCUAAGCUAUCUCCCUAUGGUCGCUUUUAACUGACCUCAAUUUGGUUUAUGUAGGACCUGUGCUAGGAAAGAGGGAUAAAUAACGUAACAAUAGAUUAUCUUAUUAAUGUUAUUACUACAAAAGGAAGAGAUCAGUGAUUUGAUUUGUCCAAUUAAUUUUUGUCUGGUUACUUAGUUCAACUGCCUAUGACACAUCAGUUGGACGGAUUAUUAAAAAAUAAUGUAGCCUUUUCAUACAUAUUUGCAUCUUUUUAAGAUGAAUGCUUGCUUGCUAUAAUAGGAUUUGGGACCAGAUGGAGAAUGUACUUCUUUUUUCACUUGCUUCUCUCAUAUUUUUGUCGUAGAUUUGUGCAUUGCUGGGCAAUUUUAAGAUGCUAGGCAAGUGUUUCUUUCAUUAGGUCUUGUUGUUGCAUGAUUAUGAUUCUCUCAUAUUUUUUUUGAAACAAUGUCGGUGCCAAAUACUAGGACUACAGAGUUAGAUUUACAUUGCUGUCAUUGUGCCAUAAGUUUCUUUCUGUAAAAUUAAAUACUUGUCUUUAAUAAGAGGGAAUAGGUAACAUAAAUUUUUCAACCACUAUUUCUUUCUGAAUAUUAUUUACUUGUCCUUUUUUUGCUCCAAGUGAUAUUUGAAAUUAUGCACACUGAUAUUUUUUUGACAUGGAGAAGCUGAACCUAAUGAAUAGGGGGCACUCUUUUUUGCAUGAUUCUUCUAGCUAACUGAAUUAAAAAAAAUCCUAGAGAAGGAAACUGUUACUUGGCCAAUAUACAUUAUUUAGUGCGUUUUUUAAUCAGAGCCUAUUUGUUCCCUUACUAAUGCUUAUCACACUAGAACUGAAUAUGCUCAUGUUCCAUAGAUUUUGAUUUAGUGGCCAUGCACCUAAAGAGAAUGUCGAUUGAGAUUUGGGAAUAACCAAAGUACCUGGCUGUUUGUACCCAGCGGCGGCAGUGGCUAAUUGAAGUGGGAAAUGGAUGACAGCAGGUGGAAGACACCGUCGUGCCAGGACGAGCACGUUAUGGAGGUCCUCGUCGUUAGGAUCACAUGGCCGUGCGGACGCGCUGCCGUGAUGAGUCCACAACGAUGGCAACAAAGACGCAGCGCAUGAGCAACAGAGCAGUACAGGGCAGCGACGAGGCGCUGCAGGGAGACGCCGUCCCGUCGUGUGGUGAGUCGUCGGCGCAAAGUAUUGCUGGCCCAUUAUUUUUUUCAAUCCUGAUAUAUGUGUGUUGUCUUAGAACUAUCAUCUUUCAAGCAAACAUAUUAAUAGAAAGAGACCUUGGUGGUCCUGUUUGGGUGCUU